UCACUUUUAUUAGGAAAUAGGAGCUGGCCCAUUAAGCACUUUCCAAAUUUGGCCCAGGAGAUCUUCUUCUUCCUCCUCUCUCCCACGUGACAGAGAAACUUCCAUCCAUGGAGACAAAGAAUCCCCACCUCCGGGAUUCGCGACGCACAUACCUUCCCAACGCCUCCCGUCGCCUCUAUAAGAAGCCCCUCGUCCUCCUCGUUCCAUUCCC
rnacentral:lncRNA from 1 species